rnacentral:rRNA from 1 species
AUUGAACGCUGGCGGCAGGCCUAACACAUGCAAGUCGAACGGUAGCAGGGCGCUAGCUCCUGCCUACAGGGGAGGAGGGGAGUAUUGUGCCGGAAAAUCUCCCGGGGUGGGGGGUAAAUCGUCGUAAAAGGGGCGCAAAUACCCUAAGAGCCCUGGGGGAGAACGGGGGAGAGCAAGGGAUCUCGCGAUAUCAGAGGAGGCUAGGUGGGAUUAGCUAGUUGGUGGGGUAAGGGCCCACCAAGGCGACGAUGCGUCACUGGUCUGAGAGGAUGAUCAGCCACACUGGAACUGAGACACGGUCCAGACUCCUACGGGAGGCAGCAGUGGGGAAUAUUGGACAAUGGGCGCAAGCCUGAUCCAGCCAUGCCGCGUGUGUGAAGAAGGUCUUCGGAUUGUAAAGCGCUUUUGUUCGGGAGGAAAGGCAGUAGGUUAAUACCCUGCUGUUUUGACGGUACCAAAAGAAUAAGCACCGGCUAACUUCGUG